CCAGCUCAUCAUGGUGAACAGCUCAGAUCAGUUCAGCUCACCUAAAAGAGCUGUUCUUUAUGAACAGCUCUUCAGCUCAGUUGUCAAUACGCUAUACUCAUCGGAAAACAAAAUGUUACUGCGUGUGUACUGGAGCAAAACUAUCGUAAAUUUUUGUCAUUUCUCUAGUCUCUUUCUUUAUUCGUCAUUUCUCUAGUGGAAGGGAAUCGAUUCGGAGGUUCCGCGCAGGAAGCGAUGGAUAUCAGUUUGGCGAAUGAUGCACAAUCUCAACAACUUCGCCACACAACUAUAGUUCUACAACAGUACACCCAGCGAAAACCAUCACCAUUACUACCACCGACAGUAGCCCACAAAAUAGACAAAAUUAAAGAAUCUUCUAUCGAUAGUGGCAAGAAUGAAGGCGAUUUGGCACCGGUUCCGAAACCGGUCGACAGCACUACGAACGUAGCUAUUUCAGCAGAUUUGAUGUUCCAAUGUGACAAACGACGACGACUUCGGGCUUGGCGCCCGAGAGCAAUAACUCCGACACAGAGAUCCUGAACCAAUGUCGAUACAGUAGAAGAAAAAAUCCGCCUACAGCCUAGUGUCAAACCGAGUCAGUUGCCCCUACUGGCAGGUUACCUUCGGACAACAAUUAGUAGACAGACAGAUAGUAGACAUUUUAAAUUUGAUUGGAUUUCAAACAAAAAUUAUUAAGUAAAAUCAAACAAACAUUUUCACAAACUUAA